rnacentral:rRNA from 1 species
UACGAAGGGGGCUAGCGUUACUCGGAUUGACUGGGCGUAAAGGGCGCGUAGGCGGUUCGUACAGUCAGACGUGAAAUUCCUGGGCUCAACCUGGGGGCUGCGUUUGAUACGUGCGGGCUUGAGUUCGGAAGAGGGUCGUGGAAUUCCCAGUGUAGAGGUGAAAUGCAUAGAGAUGCGGAGGAACACCGAUGGCGAAGGCAGCCCCCUGGGCUAACACUGACGCUCAGGCACGAAAGCGUGGGGAGCAAACAGG